rnacentral:rRNA from 1 species
UAAAAAGAUGUUCAGGAUUUGAGUUUUCUCGAAUUUAUAGGAGCUAAUAGUAUAUAUAUAUUAAUGUUGAAUAAUUAUUUAUAAUAUAUUAUUGGAAUUAGACGUUAGUCGGAUUUAAAUAUAUCUAGUUCUCUAAGAAAUUAAUUUAAUUAAGCUAAUUCUAGGAAUUAUUUAUUUGAAUAAUUGGUUCUAGAGUUAAGUAAUACUCAAGGGGAUAAGCUUUUGGGUAAAUUUCUAUAAGUGUGUGAUUAUUAAAAAUUGAAUAGGAAUAGAAGUUUUCACUUUUUGUUGUGUUUUAUAGCAAGAUUUUUAUUGAAGUGAUUUAAUUAUUUUUAGGUUUUUUAUUAGAGUGUUGAAUAUAAUUGGGAUUUUUGAGUAAUAAUGAUGAAAUAAGUAUAUGUUUUUGUUCAUGGAAUUUAUGAAUGAUAGGUUUAAUUAAGUAAUUCGGCAAAUUUAUUUUCUGCCUGUUUAUUAAAAACAUGGCCUUUUGGGAAUAAUUUAAGGUCUGGCCUGCCCAAUGAUUAGGAUUUAAUGGCCGCGGUACUCUGACCGUGCAAAGGUAGCAUAAUCAUUAGUUUUUUAAUUAAAAGCUGGUAUGAACGGUCUUACAAGAAAAUAGCUGUCUCAAUUAAAUGGUCCUAGAAUUUUAUUUUUUAGUAAGAAGGCUAAAAUAUUUUUAAGGGACGAGAAGACCCUAUAGAAUUUUAUAGAUUUUUUUAGAUUGUAUUUUUAGGUUGAUUGAUGUGAUUUAGGGGGAUUUAUUUUGUUGGGGUGAUGGAAAAAUUUAAUAAACUUUUUUUAAAGGUUUUUCACUGAUUUGUGUAUAUUUGAUCCGUUUAGGACGAUUACAAGAUUAAAUUACCUUAGGGAUAACAGCGUAAUUAAUUUGGAGAGUUCUUAUCGAUAAAUUAGUUUGCGACCUCGAUGUUGGAUUAAAAUGAACUUUUGGUGUAGGAGCUAAAAGGUUAAGUCUGUUCGACU